UGUUAUAUAAAAGAUCAUAGAAUAUAAAAAUACUUACAAAAAUGUAUUUAUAAAGAGAUAUUAGUGUCAAAAUAGAUGUGUAAGCAGACAGUCUAAAUAGAUAUUCUGUAUCAUAAGUGUUAAUACAUAAGUCUAAGCAGAUUUUCUAUAUAAGCAUAAACAAAUAAUAUAAAUUCCCUAAAUCUAUAUAAUGUGUAAACAGAUGCAUGAGUGUAAGUGUCUGUGCUAUAUAUGGAUUUGUGCAGCCAGAAAGGAAAAAAUAAAAAAGUUUAAUGCGGGAAAGCCAAAAUCACCAAUUCUUAUAUUGUGGAUAAGGCACCAGCCUCCCUCCCUGAUCUCCAUCAGAGAUCCAGCUGCUGUCAACCCGCCCCCAGCCCAGCCCAGGCGCCCUGCGCAGAGCAAUGCAGUGUCCCUGGGGCUCAUUCUGGGGGGAAAACCCCUGUUCCGCAGGUUUUUGGUGCAGAGGCACCGGCUGUCGCUGCCUGGGCUGCGAAUGCAGGGAAGGUAGAGCUGAUCCCUGGCUGGACCAAAGCGGGCUGAGAGCGGUCACCGCUCGUCACCCUAAUGAGUUCUGAGAGCAGGAUAAUUAAGGGGGUGCUGCCGCCCUGCGGCUGAAGGCUGGUCCUGCAGAUGGGGAGCCGCGCGUGCGCCCUGGCCCCGUCUCCCGCUCUCCCUGGCCGCGCCCCCGGCCCGCCUUGGCCCCCGUCAGCGCUGCGGGUUAGAGCGGCAGCCGGAGGGCGAACCAGGACCGCCAGGACUCCGGCGAGCUCCGCGCCACCUGGAGCGGCAUCGGUGCCCCCCGCCCGGCCUCGAGAGCGGCUGUCGGUGCGCCAGUAUCGGCUCUUAUGUGUUACCGCCGCCCCGUCAGCGCCCGUCAGUUUUCCUGGUGUCCAUCUCCAUGGCCCCGCGGUCCUCCAGGACCCCGGAAGUGCCCCCUCAGUCCUCCGACGCGCGUCUCCAUGGCCCUUUGGUCCUCCAGGACCCGGGAAGUGCCCCCUCAGUCCUCCGACGCGCGUCUCCAUGGCACUUUGGUCCUCCAGGACCCCGGAAGUGCCCCCUCAGUCCUCCGACGCGCGUCUCCGUGGCACUUUGGUCCUCCAGGACCCCGGAAGUGCCCCCUCAGUCCUCCGACCGGCGUCUCUAUGGCACUUUAGUCCUCCAGAAACCCGGAAGUGCCCCCUCAGUCCUCCGACCGGCGUCUCUAUGGCACUUUAGUCCCCCAGGACCCCGUAAAUGCUCAUCAGUCUUCUGGAAAUCAUAUGCUUCCAACACUCUUCCAAAACCGUAAAACACGAUUAACAGUUAAACACAAAAAUAUCUGAAGAUCGCAAAAAUAAAGCGACCCCUGCAGAAUUUUCUUCUCCAGAGCAACAACUAGACAGAACUCAAACAAAAGCAGUAAGAGAAUCACCAGAGAUGCAGAGGGAUAAGAUGUGCACCAAAGAGUGAUGGAGGAGGCAAGCGGGAUCCCGUAAGGAGGUGGGUCAGUGCAUGGUGCUGGAGGGAAGAUGUGACUGGUGGCUAUGUGACUAUAUUACGGCUUGGUGGUGUGGUGUGUGUGUUUUUUUUAAUUUUGAAGGUGUGAAGUGAUGAGUAAAGCAGGAUAUUGUCACUGGACAUGACUCGGGCAAGGUGAGCAAUGACUAGUGGGCUGAAGCAGCAGUUCUUCUCAGAUGUUAUAUUGUAGGUAGAGUUUUAAGUGUCCUUUGCAUCUGUUUUACAGAUGGUCUGUAAGCCUCAAAGUGGCAGCCCAAAACCAUGGAGGGCAGGUGGGCAAGAGGCCAGGGUAAAGAAGUAGGAGACAGGAACGGCUGUGGGCAGGCUGAGGUUUUGGGCAGUAUCUUAGCAUAUGCCUUUUGGUUGGCUCUUUUUUUUUUUUUUCAGGUGCAGGUCUCAGGCUCAGAGGGACUAAGCUGCAUGCUGAUGAGCAGGCUGAGAAGGUGCCCUGUGAGCCAUCUUGGAAGUGGAUGAGCAUCAGAGGUGAGGUGAGGCAGUAGCGAGGAGGAGCUUGGGGCUGGUGACUUCUCACAUGUGCAACAGUCAUUUUCUUUCUUGGUAUCUUAAGCAAUGAUGGCCACAGUGUCUGACUCUGGAAUGAGCAGGUGAGUGGAAUCCCAUUGUGCUUUUGAGGAAGGGGAAAUUGUGGAAGAGGUUGGCACUGACCUCUCUGAAACUUCUUUCUGUCACUGUUUGGUUUUCUUUAAUUGCAGAUGAUGAAGAGGAAUGUGGUGACUACAGGAAUGUCCCAGACAGUUGAUGUGCUGUUUUUUUUUUUUUUUUUCCGUUGACAUGGGAUGUAAGACCCCCAGCCCUUUGAAAGCUAAGUUGAGUGACCAGGGCUGGGGAGGGUUUGGGAGGAGGGGAGAAGUUUGGGAGUUUCAGGGAGGCAUCUUAAAGUUAGAGAAGGGCAGAGGGCUGUCCUGGAGCAGCCCACUUUAGGCAGUUAAAGGGAGCAGGUUAGUCUUCAGCAGAAUGCUAGCAUGAGCCAGGCAGGGCAGUUCCAGCCUGUGUCUUUUGUGUUGUUUGUGUGGUCUGUCUUCUGUGUCUUAAACCUUCCUUGCGUCUUGAUGUCCUCUUUACACUUGAGGAGCACGGUCUGUACUUCAGGCACCAUCCCCAGAAUCUUGAAUGUCUGUACUCAUUGGCAUUGCCCCAGUUGGGUGCCGCUUUUCUUGUGUUAUAAGCUUAAAGCAUGGAUCAUUCUUGCAUCUCAGAAGUUUCUGGACGGUCCCCAUUUGCAGCAUUGUUCCUGGCUGCGGGAGCAGCUCUGUUCUCUAGCCACCUGUUUUCAGUGACUGGGACUUCUUUCCUGCAUCCUUAAGUUCUUAGGUCUUGAAGCCAGGCAUCCUGCGCAUACAUCUUCUCAGUUUGGGAGUCACUCGUUGUCCAGGGCCAUUACGUUGUACUCAUUCCUGGGCUUUCCCUAGAGCCUUCUUAUGUCACUGUUGUGGGCCCACAGGUCUUCUUGCCUGACAGUCACUUAUGUCAGGGUGUCAUCCUUCUUGCUGAGGGUUUUCUCUCAUCGGUGAGAGGCAUUGUUUGUAGUGUUCUGUGUAGUGUUGGGCUGUGCUUGUGUGUAUUUGGCUUGGAGCUGCUCUGCCCGGUCAUGUAGAGUCAGGGGUAGGUGGAACAGCAAAAGAGUCUAUGGUUAAUAUGUUGAUCUAACGAGACUGUUGAGGCAAAGGUGGUACAGUCAACUCCCAUCAAGUAGCCAUCAGCAGGUGGUGUGGGCAGCUCUUUAAUUAGUGUUUUUUUUGGGAGGGGAUGAGCAGAGCUAUGUGGCAGGGGCUUUUCAGCAGUAGUGAAGCAGACUGCAUCUCAAACAUGUUAAGGCUGCUUUGUGUAGGGUGUAAUGUUUGUGUUUUUUUUUUUUUUCUUAAAAUGGCAGGUUGUAGUUGCACUCUGGAUGGUAUUUCUAAGUCAAAACAAGACCCUUUUUGUGGGGGGGCAGUGUGUGUGUCACAUGGGGUUCCCCUUAAAAGAGGUAGUUCACAGACCAAAAAUUCCUGAAAACGCAUGGGGGGAAUGUGUGUUUAAAAAAAUAAAUAAUAAAACCUGUAUAUAUGGGU